rnacentral:rRNA from 1 species
CCUACGGGAGGCAGCAGUGAGGAAUAUUGGACAAUGGAGGAGACUCUGAUCCAGCCAAACCGCGUGAAGGAUGAAGGUUCUAUGAAUCGUAAACUUCUUUUUUGCAAGAAUAAUUAACGGUAUGUAUACUGUUUUGAAUGUAUUGUAAGAAUAAGCACCGGCUAACUCCGUGCCAGCAGCCGCGGUAAU